rnacentral:miRNA from 1 species
CUGAAGAGUCUGGAGGAACUC